CAGGGCUUAAAUGUAGUCUGACAGGGGUGGAAACACCCUUUUCUUCGGACAGAUUACUAGGUGCUGCAUGGUUGUCGUCAGCUCGUGCCGUGAGGUGUCAGGUUAAGUCCUAUAACGAGCGCAACCCCUGUUGUUAGUUGCCAGCGAGUCAAGUCGGGAACUCUAACAAGACUGCCGGUGCAAACCGUGAGGAAGGUGGGGAUGACGUCAAAUCAUCACGGCCCUUACGUCCUGGGCCACACACGUGCUACAAUGGCAGGUACAAUGGGCAGCCACUGCGUAAGCAGGAGCGAAUCCACAAAACCUGUCUCAGUUCAGAUCGGGGUCUGCAACUUGACCCCGUGAAGCUGGAAUCGCUAGUAAUCGGAUAUCAGCCAUGAUCCGGUGAAUACUUUCCC
rnacentral:rRNA from 1 species